CCUACGAGUGGCAGCAGUGAGGAAUAUUGGUCAAUGGGCUUACGCCUGAACCAGCCAAGUCGCGUGAGGGAAGACGGCCCUACGGGUUGUAAACCUCUUUUGUCGGGGAGCAAAGCGAACCACGUGUGGUUCAUUGUGAGUACCCGAAGAAAAAGCAUCGGCUAACUCCGUGCCAGCAGCCGCGGUAAUACGGAGGAUGCGAGCGUUAUCCGGAUUUAUUGGGUUUAAAGGGUGCGCAGGCGGCGGUGCAAGUCAGCGGUCAAAUUGCGGGGCUCAACCCCGUACUGCCGUUGAAACUGCAUCCCUUGAGUGCGCGAGAAGUAUGCGGAAUGCGUGGUGUAGCGGUGAAAUGCAUAGAUAUCACGCAGAACUCCGAUUGCGAAGGCAGCAUACCGGCGCGCAACUGACGCUCAUGCACGAAAGCGUGGGUAUCGAACAGGAUUAGAUACCCCUGUAGUC
rnacentral:rRNA from 1 species